GACAGAGGGUGCAAACGUUGUUCGGAAUUACUGGGCGUAAAGCGUGUGUAGGCGGCUGCGCAAGUCGGAUGUGAAAGCCCCGGGCUCAACCCGGGAAGUGCACCCGAACUGCGUAGCUUGAGUACCGGAGAGGUUGGUGGAAUUCUCGGUGUAGAGGUGAAAUUCGUAGAUAUCGAGAGGAACACCGGUGGCGAAGGCGGCCAACUGGACGAGUACUGACGCUGAGACACGAAAGCGUGGGGAGCAAACAGG
rnacentral:rRNA from 1 species